rnacentral:rRNA from 1 species
ACGGGAGGCAGCAGUGGGGAAUAUUGGGCAAUGGGCGCAAGCCUGACCCAGCAAUGCCGCGUGAAGGAAGACGGUUUUCGGGUUGUAAACUUCUUUUAAGAGGGACGAUAAUGACGGUACCUCUUGAAUAAGCUCCGGCUAACUACGUGCCAGCAGCCGCGGUAAUACGUAGGGAGCAAGCGUUAUCCGGAUUUACUGGGUGUAAAGGGCGCGUAGGCGGGGAAGCAAGUCAGAUGUGAAAUCCAUGGGCUCAACCCAUGAACUGCAUUUGAAACUGUUUCUCUUGAGUGCUGGAGAAGUAGAUGGAAUUCCUAGUGUAGCGGUGAAAUGCGUAGAUAUUAGGAAGAACACCAGUGGCGAAGGCGAUCUACUGGACAGUAACUGACGCUGAGGCGCGAAAGCGUGGGGAGCAAACAGGAUUAGAUACCCUGGUA